rnacentral:rRNA from 1 species
UACGAAGGGGGCUAGCGUUGUUCGGAAUCACUGGGCGUAAAGGGCGCGUAGGCGGCUUUGUAAGUCGGGGGUGAAAGCCUGUGGCUCAACCACAGAAUUGCCUUCGAUACUGCAUGGCUUGAGACCGGAAGAGGUAAGUGGAACUGCGAGUGUAGAGGUGAAAUUCGUAGAUAUUCGCAAGAACACCAGUGGCGAAGGCGGCUCACUGGCCCGAUACUGACGCUGAGGCACGGAAAGCGUGGGGAGCAAACAGG